rnacentral:rRNA from 1 species
CCUACGGGUGGCAGCAGUGAGGAAUAUUGGUCAAUGGGCGCGAGCCUGAACCAGCCAAGUAGCGUGAAGGAUGACUGCCCUACGGGUUGUAAACUUCUUUUAUAAAGGAAUAAAGUGAGGCAAGGGUGCCUGUUUGUAGGGACUUUAUGAAUAAGGAUCGGCUAACUCCGUGCCAGCAGCCGCGGUAAUACGGAGGAUCCGAGCGGUAUCCGGAUGUAUUGGGUUUAAAGGGAGCGUAGAUGGGGUGUUAAGGCAGUAGUGAAAAUUUGCGGCUCAACCGGAAAAUUGCAAUUGAUACUGGCAGUCUUGAGUACAGUUGAGGUAGGCGGAAUUCGUGGUGUAGCGGUGAAAUGCUUAGAUAUCACGAAGAACUCCGAUUGCGAAGGCAGCUUACUAAGCUGCCACUGACAUUGAUGCUCGAAAGUGUGGGUAUCAAACAGGAUUAGAUACCCCAGUAGUC